GGCACCGCCCUCUGCUGUGUCUCCUCUGCUAACAUCCUCCCGGCUAAAGUGAGUGGCUGGCUGAGCCCAGAGUCCCAGGAGGUGGGCACGACGACCCUGGAUGGCACAGGCUGAGGAGGCAGGGAGGGUUGUGGCACGUGGGAUGCUGCCUCAGCGCGGUUUGAUGAGCAGUGCCAUGUCCACGCCCAGGAUUCGAACCAACGAAACACUGGGCCGCCUGCAGCAGAGUGUGCGACUUAACCACUCCGCCAUGGGGCCAGCCCCAUGGGAGCUUACACUUUUGAGGCAAUGACACCCAAUAAACAGAGAAACAAAGGGCCGUGAAGGGCACUGGGAAGUCCGGAAAGUGCCACGAAGAAACGGGAAGCAGCUGCCCGAAUGGACUAAGACAGGCGGAGUUCUGGCCAAUGGAGGGGCAUGGAAGACGGGCCACCACAGUACCACACGGUAAUGCAACUCAGAGCAAGACGUAAGGGGCUGCUGAAUUCCAUCCCAGGAACGUGCGGAAGGAGGUGGCUCUGGUGCUCUGCUUUUGAGAGAAGAAGGAGGUCUCAGAAGCCAUGUGUUGAAGAUGACAGAGUCUGCAUUUGAAGAACUGUGUGGCCAAGAGCUCCACCCCCACCUGCCAGAACUGGACCUGCCGGGGACUGUCAAUAUGAGUGAGAAAUAAACUCAACUGUGUUUAUGCCAUUAUUAUUCUUGGACUUGUUGCAGCAUUAACUUACCCUGAUAAUACAGAGAACCACAAAGCUUGCAGGCCACAGGAUCUCUCAGCUGCCGUCUCCAGUUAGUCUGACACCUGUUCAGCAGUUUCAGCUCCCGGCCUGUAUCAGACGUGGAACCUGAACUUCUUGGAGAACAGUGCCCAUUUCGCUAGGCACAAACCAAGUCACUUUCCUCAGAUGACCAGGCUGUGGUGGCCUGAUGUCCCAUCUUGGGGAGCUAGGUCCCUGUAAAGUGCUUUGUCCACCCUUGAAGCUGGCCUACUUGCUCCUACCUGGGAUGUUGACCUCAGCUAGGACCACCUUUCUCCAAAGAGGUGGUACCCCUGUGUUUGAAGCCUGUUGUGAUCUUACGUCCCUGCCAAUGCACAAAAGACACCACCCUAGGCGAGGCUGGCUCAGAGAACACCAAGGAGGGCAGACAGGAAUGGGUUUCUCAGCUGCUGGCGGCCUGUGGCUGCCACUUAAGGCUGGACAUCCCUCCUUCUUGAGGAGGCUGGCUGCUGCGGUGGCAGGGGCUCGAAAAUGAUUAUGAAGGCUCUCUCGUCUCUGGGGAAGCCUAGAAAUGUUGGGUAUCUUUGACACAAGGGCCACUCAAAUCAGUUAAAACAAAACAAGGGGGCUCUAUUGGAAAGACACUGAGGAAAGCCCCAGAGAGUGGCAGCAACGGGGGUGUCUCUGAAGACCUCGGAAGCUGGAGUCAGGGAGGCGACGCCCCCGCUUCCAUGCCUUCAGCAGCUCCAGGCUGUGUCCUCCAGCCCCAUCACCUAGAGGUGACAGCCUUGGCAGAGAAGCCUCAGGGAGGUUCUGAUGGGUCUGGCUUGGCAAUCACCAGAGCCAGGAGAAGGGCUGUAGCCUGGGGCAGAGUCUGAGUGGAAGAAAUAAAGCUUUGCUUUCAUUAAAAUUCAGAAACAGCCAG
ensembl:lncRNA